rnacentral:rRNA from 1 species
GGGAAGUUAAAAAUCGUAACAAGGUUUCCGUAGGUGAACCUGCGGAAGGAUCAUUACCGAGUGAGGGCCCUCUGGGUCCAACCUCCCACCCGUGUCUAUCGUACCUUGUUGCUUCGGCGGGCCCGCCGUUUCGACGGCCGCCGGGGAGGCCUUGCGCCCCCGGGCCCGCGCCCGCCGAAGACCCCAACAUGAACGCUGUUCUGAAAGUAUGCAGUCUGAGUUGAUUAUCGUAAUCAGUUAAAACUUUCAACAACGGAUCUCUUGGUUCCGGCAUCGAUGAAGAACGCAGCGAAAUGCGAUAAGUAAUGUGAAUUGCAGAAUUCAGUGAAUCAUCGAGUCUUUGAACGCACAUUGCGCCCCCUGGUAUUCCGGGGGGCAUGCCUGUCCGAGCGUCAUUGCUGCCCUCAAGCACGGCUUGUGUGUUGGGCCCCCGUCCCCCUCUCCCGGGGGACGGGCCCGAAAGGCAGCGGCGGCACCGCGUCCGGUCCUCGAGCGUAUGGGGCUUUGUCACCUGCUCUGUAGGCCCGGCCGGCGCCAGCCGACACCCAACUUUAUUUUUCUAAGGUGACCUCGGAUCAGGUAGGAUGCCCGGUU